UAUUUAGUAAAAAAAAAAAUUAGACUUAAACUUUUUAAAAGGUUGAGUCUCUUAGUUCUAAAAUUUAUUUCUUUUUGUUUGUAUGGCUGAGUUUGGAUCGGAAGCACAAGGCUCCAAAUUCGAUCUUGUUGGCGGCUGCACAUCAAAAAGAGUUCGUCACAGGCUUUGCUUCUACACCUCGCGAGUGAUCUCGAGGCCCAUUGCUAGAGUUUACAGGGUGAGCCAUGUUCCAGAUCCGCAGCCCCUAAAACUCUUCUUUCAUGAUAUUUGUCCUUCUGUUCCGAUACAGUAUUUCAGACUCUUAUACAUCUGUUAUUUUCAGACUUAUGUAGUUUAUAGUGGCUCUUGUAUUGUACUUAGACUAGAAUUUUGGUAUUUUGUAUUCGUAUUCCGCACUUAGUAGUUAUUUAUAUAUUGAGACUGCUUAAA